rnacentral:tRNA from 1 species
GGAGGCAUGGCUCAGGUGGUAGAGCACCUUUCUACCAAGCAGGAGGUCCUGAGUUCAAACCCUAGUACUACCA